AUACUUACCUGGAUGGGGUCAAUGGGUGAUCAUGAAGGCCCAUGGCCUAGGCAAGUGACUUCCAUUGCACUUAAGGAGGGGUGCUUGCCUAAGGUCUACCCAAGUGGUGGAACCUACAUCAUAAUUUGUUGCUGUGGGGGCCUGCGUUCGCGCGGCCCUCUU